UACAGAGGUCUCAAGCGUUGUUCGGAUUCAUUGGGCGUAAAGGGUGUGUAGGUGGCGCGCUAAGUCGGGUGUGAAAUUUCGGAGCUUAACUCCGAAACUGCAUUCGAUACUGGCGUGCUUGAGGACUGGAGAGGAGACUGGAAUUUACGGUGUAGCAGUGAAAUGCGUAGAUAUCGUAAGGAAGACCAGUGGCGAAGGCGGGUCUCUGGACAGUUCCUGACACUGAGACACGAAGGCCAGGGGAGACGAAACGGG
rnacentral:rRNA from 1 species